CGACCAUGUACUCCUAUACAAUGUGAUUUUUGUGCAGUAAGGUGUGAAACAUCAUCUUUACUAGUUUGUCACUUGAGGUCACAUUUGCGUGAAGGAUUACACAUUGAAUGCCCAUUUAGAGGAUGUGAUAGAAGGUUCUCUGUUUCUGUCGAGUUUUGCAUCCCAUCUUUCUAAGAAGCACCGCAACGACAGUGUUGAACAUGUAGAAAACCCCUCUAAUGUAGGAAGACCUGUUGCCAGUGAAUCAGUGAGUCAGUGUGAACCAUCUAACGUUAAUUAUUCGUAUGAUGAGAAGUGCCUGUUUCAGUUGAUCUUGGAGUACUUGGGAAAAGUUCUGGAAGCCUACAAUGAAGAGUGUGGCAACAAAGCUAUCUGCACCAUCAUGGCCUGCUUGCUCACUUCAAGGAGGGGGAUGGUAUCUUCCUUAUGGCUGAUCCCUCUGCCACGGCUGCCGAUAUCGAGAGAGCUGUCACCCUGCCAAGCACACCUCGAUUAGUUGUACCAGGAGAGAUACUGCACGGUGCAGACACGUGGAUUAUGUCCAUGGAAGGAGCAUGUGUGAUGGGGCCCCACAGCAACCUCCUGCAUGGAUUGGCAGCAGUCUUCGCUGCCUACUAUGUGUUCAACUUGCGAUAUCCGGCAUAAGCCGCUAGCACACUUGAGUUCAUCCAGAGAGCCUUUUGCGGCAUAAAUCCCCAGACGGGCAGCGAGGCAGAGAAAAAACGAGGGCUGAACGCACCAGUUUGCACACUUUUGAGAAAACUGCUGGAUUUUGAAUUGGUGGGUAGGGGAUAUUAGUGGG